CAAGUUGGCUGGGUGGUCGCGCUACGGUUUCGGCCGUGGUGAGGAAAGUCCGCACUCCACAGAGCACGGUGCUAGCUAACAGCUAGGCGGGGCGACCCGACGGCAAGUGCAACAGAGAACGAAUUGCAACGGCCGCAAGGCUAGUUGUGAGGGUGAAAAGGUGGUGUAAGAGACCACCAGCAGGGGCAGUGAUGUCGCUGGCUAGGCAAACCCCACCGGGAGCAAGGUCAAGCAGAGUGUUAGGGCGGCUCGCUCAAUAGCACUCGGGUAGACUGCAUGAGGCGGCCGGCGACGGCCGUCCCAGAUAGAUGAUCACCACCACCGCAAGGUGGCACAGAAUGCGGCUUAUAGGCCAACUUGAGGA
rnacentral:RNase_P_RNA from 1 species